GUAACAAGGUUUCCGUAGGUGAACCUGCGGAAGGAUCAUUAAUUAUGUUAAAGCGCCUUACCUCUUAGGGUUUCCUCUGGGGUAAGUGAUUGCUUCUACACUGUGAAAAUUUGGCUGAGAGACUCAGACUGGUCAUGGGUAGACCUAUCUGGGGUUUGAUCGAUGCCACUCCUGGUUUCAGGAGCACCCUUCAUAAUAAACCUAGAAAUUCAGUAUUAUAAAGUUUAAUAAAAAACAACUUUUAACAAUGGAUCUCUUGGUUCUCGCAUCGAUGAAGAACGUAGCAAAGUGCGAUAACUAGUGUGAAUUGCAUAUUCAGUGAAUCAUCGAGUCUUUGAACGCAGCUUGCACUCUAUGGUUUUUCUAUAGAGUACGCCUGCUUCAGUAUCAUCACAAACCCACACAUAACAUUUGUUUAUGUGGUAAUGGGUCGCAUCGCUGUUUUAUUACAGUGAGCACCUAAAAUGUGUGUGAUUUUCUGUCUGGCUUGCUAGGCAGGAAUAUUACGCUGGUCUCAGGAUCUUUUUCUUUGGUUCGCCCAGGAAGUAAAGUACAAGAGUAUAAUCCAGCAACUUUCAAACUAUGAUCUGAAGUCAGGUGGGAUUACCCGCUGAACCUAAGCAUAUCA
rnacentral:misc_RNA from 2 species